rnacentral:rRNA from 1 species
AGAGUUUGAUCCUGGCUCAGAGCGAACGCUGGCGGCGCGCUUAACACAUGCAAGUCGAGCGAGAACCAGGGCUUCGGUCCUGGGGACAGCGGCGAACGGGUGAGUAACACGUGGAUAACCUGCCCUCGGCACCGGGAUAGCCCGGGGAAACCCGGAUUAAUACCGGAUAGCCCUUCCGACUCUCGAGUCGGUCCGAAAAGGUAGCUUCGGCCUCCGGCCGAGGAUGGGUCCGCGGCGGAUUAGCUUGUUGGUGGGGUAACGGCCUACCAAGGCUCCGAUCCGUAGCUGGUCUGAGAGGACGAUCAGCCACACUGGGACUGAGACACGGCCCAGACUCCUACGGGAGGCAGCAGUGGGGAAUCUUGCGCAAUGGGCGAAAGCCUGACGCAGCGACGCCGCGUGAGGGAGGAAGGCCUUCGGGUUGUAAACCUCUUUCAGGAGGGACGAAGCUACUCGGGUUAAUAGCCCAGAGGGUGACGGUACCUCCAGAAGAAGCCCCGUCUAACUACGUGCCAGCAGCGGCGGUAAUAC